rnacentral:rRNA from 1 species
AUACGGAGGGUGCAAGCGUUAAUCGGAAUUACUGGGCGUAAAGCGUACGUAGGCGGUUCGUUAAGUUAGAUGUGAAAGCCCCGGGCUUAACCUGGGAACUGCAUUUAAAACUGGCGAACUAGAGUUGAGUAGAGGGGAGUGGAAUUUCAGGUGUAGCGGUGAAAUGCGUAGAGAUCUGAAGGAACACCAGUGGCGAAGGCGGCUACCUGGACUCAAACUGACGCUGAGGUACGAAAGCGUGGGUAGCAAACGGGAUUAGAAACCCCAGUAGUCC